rnacentral:rRNA from 1 species
AAAAGCUUGCUUUUUUGCUGACGACCGGCGCACGGGUGCGUAACGCGUAUGCAAUCUACCUUUUGCUAAGGGAUAGCCCAGAGAAAUUUGGAUUAAUACCUUAUAGUAUGAUGACUUGGCAUCAAGAUAUCAUUAAAGGUUACGGCGAAAGAUGAGCAUGCGUUCUAUUAGCUAGUUGGUGUGGUAACGGCAUACCAAGGCAACGAUAGAUAGGGGUCCUGAGAGGGAGAUCCCCCACACUGGUACUGAGACACGGACCAGACUCCUACGGGAGGCAGCAGUGAGGAAUAUUGGACAAUGGAGGCAACUCUGAUCCAGCCAUGCCGCGUGCAGGAAGACUGCCCUAUGGGUUGUAAACUGCUUUUGUACAGGAAGAAACACCUCUACGUGUAGAGAUUUGACGGUACUGUAAGAAUAAGGAUCGGCUAACUCCGUGCCAGCAGCCGCGGUAAUACGGAGGAUCCAAGCGUUAUCCGGAAUCAUUGGGUUUAAAGGGUCCGUAGGUGGAUAAUUAAGUCAGAGGUGAAAUCCUGCAGCUUAACUGUAGAAUUGCCUUUGAUACUGGUUGUCUUGAGUUAUUAUGAAGUGGUUAGAAUAUGUAGUGUAGCGGUGAAAUGCAUAGAUAUUACAUAGAAUACCAAUUGCGAAGGCAGAUCACUAAUAAUAUACUGACACUGAUGGACGAAAGCGUGGGGAGCGAACAGGAUUAGAUACCCUGGUAGUCCACGCC